UACGUAGGGUGCGAGCGUUGUCCGGAAUUAUUGGGCGUAAAGAGCUCGUAGGCGGUUUGUCACGUCUGCUGUGAAAUCCCGAGGCUCAACCUCGGGCCUGCAGUGGGUACGGGCAGACUGGAGUGCGGUAGGGGAGAAUGGAAUUCCUGGUGUAGCGGUGGAAUGCGCAGAUAUCAGGAGGAACACCGAUGGCGAAGGCAGGUCUCUGGGCCAUUACUGACACUGAGAAGCGAAAGCAUGGGGAGCGAACAGG
rnacentral:rRNA from 1 species